rnacentral:sRNA from 1 species
AUGAUUUGUCCGCUCUGCGGACGUUUCCUCCCUAAACUCGGGCUGCGCUUGUCGCAGCCCCUUUUUUUUGCCUGA